ensembl:lncRNA
GACUGUGAUAGAGCAGUAGCUCCCUUCACUAAGUUAUAUGACACAACAAAGGUGGUGGUCACUCACAUGAUUACCUUAUGUCCAUAUAUUACUGUCACAGCAGACUGGAGGGAGAUGCUUCUGUUGGCUUUGAAGUGAGCUGCCAGACUGGGAUAUGGCCAUAUGAGUGUGAAUGAACUACACCUUGGUUUCAGCCUUGUGAGACAGUGAGCAAGGAGCCUGGGCCCAGCUAUGCUCUGCCUAGAUUUAUAACCUAAAGAGUUAUGAGGUAGAACCAGGACAUAGUGACAUGUGGUGUUUUGUCCAUGAAGAUGGAAAGAUCCUAGACUCUAGAUACUGAAACCACAAAGAGAUCUCUCGCCCACGGUUUUCGUCUUUUCUCUCUCAGUCUCCUGAAGACCCUAGUGCUUCCUCAUGUGACCUCAUGGCACAUGGUGUGCCUCUUCCUCUUGGAAUCUCCAGCUUUCCAAUGAAAUUCACAUCCUAGAUAAGACCCUUGCUGCACGGGCAAGAUAGCUGACAUCAAGGCUCACGGACGAUCUCCAGCCAAAAAUGAAGCAUUAAUCCCACAUUUUGGGCAGACAUCUUGCCUGCUCCUAAGAAACUCAACUGCCAGCCAAUAUUAUUGGAGAGCUUUUAAAAUGUGUCUCUACAGGCACAGGCUACAGGGUGCAAAAUGGAUUGUGGAAAAUCUAGGAAUAUCAGGACUGUCUUCCUCUCAAAAUUUGCAAGUACAUGUCAUUUAAGCAAAGAUGAGCAAGGACCCUUUUCUCAGCUCCCUACCAACGUUAUGCUUAAAUCAUGGUGAACAUUUGUCUGCCACUACCUCAAAGUAAUAUCUUCAACAACAACAAACCACAGUGUGUGUGUUCAGCCUAAUGUAGCUACUCAGCUUCAUAUAGCUUUGUGUCCAAAGCAUCCUUCCUGUACACCUUCCUCCCCUUCUUCAUUGGUUUCGCAUAUUUGGAUUUUCAAAUGAAAGGGAAAAUUUCUACACAAUCAAAAGUGAAGCUCAAGUCUUACAGAAAUAACCUAAGACCACCCAAAUAAUCACAUGCAGAGGCCGUUAAUUUAGAACUCGCUGAAGCAAUCAGCUGCCACUAUUUGUGUUUGACAAUGACUGAAAGCAGGUAAGAGGGUGGGAAAGAUUUCAAGUGAAAAACGAGAAGGCUUCAGGUAUGCUCUGAUUGGAGUUUGUUGGUAUGUAAAACUGGAGGCAGCUAACAUGAGUAUCUCAUGGGAUUGUUUGGGGAGCAUGUUUGACUUUCUUUGGUUGAUCUUGAGACAGAAGGAUGAGGGGUAGAGGAGGGACAGCAAAGUUGAAAGUCCAUGACCCAAGUUUUUACUAUUCUGGACCAACUGCUGGAGACGUUGUGGGUCGACUUCCUGGGCUUCUUAUUUGGGUCAGAAUUUAUGUCAUGGGUGGCCUGGCAAUUGUCCACCUCUGCAUUCAGGCUCUCGGUCUGGGUAAAGGACUCACUCACCUGACAGUGAAGGUGUAGAGCUGUGCUGUCCAGUACAGUGACCUCUAGUUUUGUACGGUAUUGAGCAUUUGAAAUGUAGUUAAUCUGAAAUGAAAUGUGCUAUAAAUGUACAAUGCACACUGAAUUUCAGAGCCUCCUUAUGAAAAAAGAGAAUAACAUUAAUGAUGUUUUACUAUUGAGCAGGUGUUAAAUGACAACAUUGGG